UACGUAGGGGCAAGCGUUGUCCGGAAUUAUUGGGCGUAAAGCGCUCGCAGGCGGUUUUUUAAGUCUGAUGUGAAAUCUUGCGGCUCAACCGCAAGCGGUCAUUGGAAACUGGAGAACUUGAGGGCAGAAGAGGAGAGUGGAAUUCCACGUGUAGCGGUGAAAUGCGUAGAGAUGUGGAGGAACACCAGUGGCGAAGGCGACUCUCUGGUCUGUAACUGACGCUGAGGAGCGAAAGCGUGGGUAGCGAACAGGAUUAGAUACCCGGGUA
rnacentral:rRNA from 1 species